GGUCGUCGAUCGACUUGGACCGCAAAGAGAAGCCCAAAUCAGCGAUUGCGUCAUGGAUCCCUAGCAAUCUGGGGGACCUUCGCAACUCGAUAGUCGAUUGGUUUGGAUUUCCGCAGGCCUUCCAUCUUAUGUUGGCUAAAACCUCCUUCUCUCUCCGGCGCGCUUCUUUGCUCUGAAUUCGAGUUCUCUGCUUCAGUAUGGCGAAGGAGGUGUACACCAGGGAAGAGUUACUUGCGCUGUUGCAGGAUCUUCAAAUUGAUUUUUCCAGGUACGAACAUCCUGCUGUAUUAACAGUUGAAGCUCAGGCAAAAUAUGUUGGAAAUUUGGGGGGUGGACUCAGUAAGAAUCUUUUUUUGAAGGACAAAAAGAAUAGAUACUAUAUUGUUUCUGCAUUGGCAGACGCCAAAGUGGACCUAAAAGUUCUAUCUGCGAGACUUGGUUUGGGUAAAGGAGGUCUGAGGAUGGCUCCCGAGGAAGCAUUGGGUGAGAAACUUAAGGUGUCCCUGGGUUGUGUUACUCCAUUUGCACUCAUCAAUAAAACAGCACGGGAUGUCGCCUUGUUGUUGGACCAGGGAUUUAAAAGUCAAGAAUUUUGCUUCUUCCACCCUCUGUCAAACGAAACUUCAAUAUCCAUCAAUUCCAGUAAUCUCGACAAGUUCCUUCAAUCGAUUGGGAGAGACCCUUCAUAUGUUGACUUGGAGGCUAAUCCUUCUGUAGGAAAGGAUCAACCCCCAGAUCUCGCGGGACUUGUUCCAUCUGGUUCUUCUCUUGUGCCUGAUACUCCAGAGAAAGUAUCUUCUCACGCAGAUUCUAAUGAAAAUCACGGUGUUACAGACAAGAAGUCUAAAGCAGUUGCAGCGAACACAGUCAAAUUAUCUACCGCUGUGAAAGUUGGAAAGGACAAACCUGCACCCAAAGGUCGACCAUCCUAUGCAAAUGUGGAAAAAUUUGUGGAAGAGAUCCUUGAUAAGACGUCGGCAAUAGUGCUCUCAGAGCUGACAGAGGAGACUGUUAAUAAACAUGGAGAACAGUUGGGAGCCGUGGUGUCAAACAGCAUUAAGAGACAUCUCAGCUCGGAGUUGAACAACCUUUCUAUGAUAUUUAAGAACGCUGCAUACACAGAAGGGUUCCAUGCUGGAUCUUCCCAUAAAGUGAAACAUGCAUGCUGACAUUUUUGUUUGCCUGUGCUUCCAAGCAACUGAAGAAGAGAACUCGGACAGAAGGCGAAUGGUAUAAAUUGGGUAGAAAUAACAACAUCCUGCCAUGUAAUGGGCCACGGGUGUCAGAUCAAAGAGUUGAAUCAUCUGAUUAGUGCUUUGCUUAUACCGGAAAAUAAUUAGACGAUAUUUGAAAGAAGGCAAUGGAGUGGCAUGCAUACCAAAUGUGUACCGUGGUAAUGAAUCUAAAGAGUACGUUUUUCCUUUCCAGUGUCUUCAUAUACGCACACAUAUAUUUACAUUCCUAACGAAGAGGUUCAAGUAAAAUCCAAGUUAUUUGUAGCAAAAACAUCGACAUUAAAAGGACUAAGGAAGAGAGGUAGGACAAACCACCCCUUGAAUUAAUUUCUGAAAAAUGGAAUAAAAUAUCUAGGUCAGAAUCUGUGAUGGGAAGAACAGAAACUUUUUUACAAGUUCACGUUUCAUGCUAUUAUUUUCAAUUUAA